GAGCUUGGAUGAGCUGGGCUGAGCUGGGCGGGGCUGAGCUGGGCGGGGCUGAGCUGGGCGGGGCUGAGCUGGGCUGAG
rnacentral:miRNA from 14 species